rnacentral:rRNA from 1 species
UGCCAGCCGCCGCGGUAAGACGGAGGGGGCUAACGUUGUUCGGAUUUACUGGGCGUAAAGCGCGCGUAGGCGGCUUGCCAAGUUGGGCGUGAAAGCCCGGGGCUCAACCCCGGAACUGCGCUCAAAACUGGCAGGCUAGAGACCGGAAGAGGAGAGCGGAAUUCCCAGUGUAGAGGUGAAAUUCGUAGAUAUUGGGAAGAACACCAGUGGCGAAGGCGGCUCUCUGGUCCGGUUCUGACGCUGAGGUGCGAAAGCGUGGGGAGCAAACAGGAUUAGAUA